CAGCCAUUUUGCUGUUUAUUCAUCAUCUUAAAAUAUAAUCAAAGAAGAAUAUUUACUCUAAGAAAUAAGAAGAAACUAUGUUUUAUUGCUACAAUUUAUUAAUGGAUGUCUGGACUGUUUUUUGGAUUGCAAAAGGAAAGGUUAUUUUGAAAGCGUGUCUUGUCAGAUGUUGCCAGGGGGGGGAAAGGUGAAAUGAGUGCUUAAGUUGUGAAAGAGGAAGUCAGGCUUAUAUGUGUUAACUCUUAUCAUAGACAAGCGAUAUUUUAGCGAAGUAAGACGCAUGACUGUGGUCAAGUCAUCUGUUAGAAAGAUCAUGGGAUGCUUAAACUUUUGAACCUUAAAUUUGUCAGUUAUGCUAGAAUUUAGCCAAUAGGAAAUAAGACCAUAUUUGGAGUUCUGAUUCAAGCUAAACGAAAGGCCAGUUCCGGGUCAUAUGUAUAAAAUAUGAGGAAUUGUAACAUGAUGUUAGAUUGCUUCUUGCCAAUCUCCAUGAGAUAUCUCUGUGUAUUGUAAUGGUCAAUUAAACGCUUUUUAUUGAACCUGGUAAUAUUUUUGUCUACUUCCACAGUUGGGGGCUCGUCCGGGAUCAGAAUACCACAGACACCAGCGGAACACCUGCACCUGCCAACCAUUUCGUGGGCACUCAAACAGACCGGUCAUAUAAAAGGUAAGCCA